rnacentral:other from 1 species
UGUCCCCUGUGGUGUUAGUUUAGGUAUAUAUUCUUUGAACCAAUAUAAGAGACCGGUUGUGAACCAACGUGAUGCUGUUGUGCGCUCCCUAGAUGAAAGCGCCUGAUGCAUCCGGAAAACGACCACUUUGAACCUUAAGGUUCAAGAUAGCGACCUGACGGCAUUUACGGGGGACUU